rnacentral:pre_miRNA from 1 species
UUUGUACUCCCUCCGUCUCAAAAAGCUUGUCUUAGAUUUGUCCAAAUACGAAUGUAUCAAGUCACGUUUUAGUAUUAGGUACAUCCGUAUCUAGACAAAUCUAAGAUGAGAAUUUUGGGACGGAGGGAGUAUGAU